rnacentral:rRNA from 1 species
CAGAGGGUGCGAGCGUUAAUCGGAAUUACUGGGCGUAAAGCGUGCGUAGACGGUUAUUUAAGGUCGGGUGUGAAAGCCCCGGGCUCAACCUGGGAAUUGCAUUCGAGACUGAAUAGCUAGGGUACGGUAGAGGGAAGUGGAAUUUCCGGUGUAGCGGUGAAAUGCGUAGAUAUCGGAAGGAACAUCAGUGGCGAAAGCGACUUCCUGGACCAGUACCGACGUUCAGGCACGAAAGCGUGGGGAGCAAACAGGAUUAGAUACCCUGGUAGUCCACGCCAUAAACGAUGAGGACUAGACGUUGGAGGGGUAAGCCUUUCAGUGUCGUAGCUAACGCGCUAAGUCCUCCGCCUGGGGAGUACGGCCGCAAGGUUG